GAGGAUUAUAUGAGAUACUUACGUAAGAGGGGCUGGUGCAUUGUGGAAGUCAAUAAAUAAGUUUUGUUAAAUCUGAGUAAGAAGACCCGUUUGUUUCCUCAAAUUGCUUAUAAUCUAGGUGAGGACACAUCUGAGAGAAUAACUAAUAGUUCAGUGAAGCUCCUAAGGAGGCAGCAGAAACCAAGGU
rnacentral:antisense_RNA from 1 species